GUGUGAAAAUAAUAAGUAAUCUUCUCGGUUUCUAGUACAAAGCUAGUUGUUCUGGGAAUAAAAUGUACCAUUACCGAAUCUCCAAGUGGGAAAACUCAAUCAAACUGCAGUAAAAGUAUAGCGUAAAACAGGCGGCAAAGUAAACCCUUAACUUUAAUGCAGCUGACAAACAGCUGCUGACCACCCACGGAGACAAUCACAGAAUCCCCCAUAAUCCAUUACCUCUGUCAAGUGAAUUUACUUUACUACUAAGGAGCAGAAGCUAUAAAUUUUCCUUUAAAUGUGCUGCCGUAGCAAAUCUGUGACCAGAAAAUGCCAACAACAUUGCUUUGGUAACAGCAUUGGCUCUCCCAUCUGACACCACUACAAUUCCAGGACAGCCUUUCUAGAAUGGCCUUAGUCAGAAACAGACAGCGACCAUUUCAAUAAUAUAAAAGUAUCAAAUCAAUUCAUUUCCAACUAAAAAGAAAAAUAUUAUAGUCUUGAAAGUCCAGAUAAUGAGCCAUCUGGAAUCUCAGUGGGGACUUACUCUUCAUUAUAACAGAAGAUCAUGGAAGCACAGAAGACAAAGGCACCUGCAUGGCCUUCCAGUGGAAUGGCCAACCCCACACUGAGAUCACUUAUGUGCUCUUCAUGGCAGAUAAUCCCACUGGCUGAGAGGCUUUUGCAAGGUACUUCAUCACAGCUUAGGUCAAAUGGAUAGUUGUUCGUAUGAAUCGAAAACUUCUCUGUAACACUUCCCUUGAUUCUCACUUUUUGUUUUUUGGAGGAAGUAGAGGAAGUCCAACUCUCUUCUCAUUAAGGUUCUGUAUGAAAUUGAUGACUACUAUGAUGUCUUCUUUAGGCCUUAUCUCUUCAAUUCAAAUAAACAAACGCUAUUGGAUGCUUCCAUUGGGUUAAACAGAAGGGAUUAGAAAAUGAGCCAGAUGCAGUAGCACACGCACAUAUAAUUAAACUUAAUUCAUUAGGAUGACUGCUAUACCCACAGUAUUUUUUUUUCUUUUUCUCAUAGCAACAUAAGCUUUUUCUCAACACAGUCUUAUAUGAAACACAACAGAUGAAUCAGACUGGAGCAGAGCUGCUAUGGCUGAAAUGAAAUGGAGGCUGAGAGCCUCACCUACUUGGCUUCCCUCUCUGCUCUCCAGAAGCUCUAGAAAAAGCCCUGCUGAGCCUCUGGGUCCUAAGCAACACAGUGUAAACACUGCUGCUCUAGAACUUCAGAGAAGAAUGAAAGUAAUCUGCUGGUCAGAUGCAGAGUGUUGGGCAGUGAAGGUUAUAAAGAACAGAUUUCAAAGAGAAGACAUGAACAUGCAAAGGGUCUAAGGUGAGAACAUGUUUGGUGUGUUCAAUGAAUAUCAAGAAGGCCAGUGUGGCUGCAGCUGAAUGAGCAGAGUGGAAUAGUAGGAGAGGAGGUCAGGAUAGGAGCAGAGCACCUGGGUCCUUAAAAAACAUUGGAGCUGGAGUGAGCCACGUGAGUCCACAACUGGUGUGGCAUGAGCAGCAGAGUUGUUAUCUAAGG